rnacentral:lncRNA from 1 species
GAAAGUUGUGCCCAGAGCAAGGACGGGUGAGGAUGAAUGUCGAAGAAAGAGCCUCUGGAGAAAGCGGCCCUACAGACAACUUGACCUUGGACUUCCGGCCUCCAGAACACUGAGAGAAUUAUUUUCUGGUGUGUGAGCCACCCAGUCUGCAGUAUUUCAUUGUAGCAUUCCUGACAGACAGAACGUUCUUAACCUUGAAAACUGACAUGUUCAACUUGUUCCAGCCUUCAUGUCUCCUGCUUGAGUUCCUGCCUUGACUUCCCUCAAUGAUGGAGUAUGGCAUAGAAAUGUAAGAUGAGAUAAACUGU